rnacentral:rRNA from 1 species
UACGUAGGGGGCGAGCGUUGUCCGGAUUUAUUGGGCGUAAAGAGCUCGUAGGCGGUUUGGUAAGUCGGGUGUGAAAUCUCCACGCUCAACGUGGAGGGGCCACUCGAUACUGCCCUGACUAGAGUCCGGUAGAGGAGUAUGGAAUUCCCGGUGUAGCGGUGAAAUGCGCAGAUAUCGGGAGGAACACCAGUAGCGAAGGCGGUACUCUGGGCCGGAACUGACGCUGAGGGAGCGAAAGGCGUGGGGAGCAAACAGG